GAUGAACGCUGGCGGCGUGCCUAAUACAUGCAAGUCGAGCGAACAGACGAGGAGCUUGCUCCUCUGACGUUAGCGGCGGACGGGUGAGUAACACGUGGAUAACCUACCUAUAAGACUGGGAUAACUUCGGGAAACCGGAGCUAAUACCGGAUAAUAUAUUGAACCUCAUGGUUCAAUAGUGAAAGACGGUUUUGCUGUCACUUAUAGAUGGAUCCGCGCCGCAUUAGCUAGUUGGUAAGGUAACGGCUUACCAAGGCAACGAUGCGUAGCCGACCUGAGAGGGUGAUCGGCCACACUGGAACUGAGACACGGUCCAGACUCCUAAGGGAGGCAGCAGUAGGGAAUCUUCCGCAAUGGGCGAAAGCCUGACGGAGCAACGCCGCGUGAGUGAUGAAGGUCUUCGGAUCGUAAAACUCUGUUAUUAGGGAAGAACAAAUGUGUAAGUAACUAUGCACGUCUUGACGGUACCUAAUCAGAAAGCCACGGCUAACUACGUG
rnacentral:rRNA from 1 species